GAUGAAGAACGCAGCAAAAUGCGAUAAGUAGUGUGAAUUGCAGAAUUCAGUGAAUCAUCGAAUCUUUGAACGCACAUUGCGCCCCUUGGUAUUCCAUGGGGCAUGCCUGUUCGAGCGUCAUUUGUACCUUCAAGCUUUGCUUGGUGUUGGGUGUUUGUCCAUUCUCUUGCAGAGGGACUCGCCUUAAAGUAAUUGGCAGCCAGUGUUUUGGUUUUGAAGCGCAGCACAAGUCGCGAUUCAAAGCUAUACGCCCGCUUCCACAAGCCUUUUUCACUUUUGACCUCGGAUCAGGUAGGGAUACCCGCUGAACUUAAGCAUAUCAAUAAGCGGAGGA
rnacentral:misc_RNA from 1 species